UUUUGUUAAAAAAAUAAUUUUAAAAUGUUUUGUUUUUAUAAAUCAUGUUUUUUUUUAGUAUAGGUAAAAGAAAUAAGUCUGUAAAAAGUACCUUUAGGGAAAGUAUUAAAAAAAAUAAAAAUUGUGACAUUUUUACUUUUUGUAUCAUGGUUUGGCUAGAAAUUUAAAAUGAUUAUAAUAAUUCUCGAAGUUUUGUGAUCUAUUUUUUUUAUGUUUAGAACUAAUCGUUUACUGUUGAAAUAAUAUCGAAAUAAAAAAAAAUAGAAGUUAAAAGCUUGUCGAACAAAACAAUAGCUUGUUUUUGCAGAAGUGUUUAAAGAAUAUCAACUUUCAGUUAAAAAAAAUUUAAGUUUUUUGGGGAUAAGCUCAAAAAACUCGCUAUAAUUAAAGAUAUACAGUUUUUGUGUGGGCAUAAAAGCUGCCAUUUUUAAAAAAUUCGUUUUAGAUUGCUGUUUAAUAUUAUUUUAUUUUUAUAUUUAUGCAGAUUUUCAAAAAAAUUACUUUUUGUUGUAAUAAUGCUAAUAUAAGUAUUAGUUUUUUAAUUUUUAGCCGGUUAUCGGCUAUUUAAAAAUAAGYCCAAGAUAGUGUAAUAAAGGAACUAGGCAAAAUUUUAUUCUAACUGUUUAUCAAAAACAUAGCUUACCGUUUUUUAUGGUAAGUAAUUUCUGCCCAAUGAAAUUUAAAUGGCCGCGGUAUCUUGACCGUGCAAAGGUAGCAUAAUCAUUUGCCUUUUUAUUGGAGGCUAGAAUGAAGGAAAAAAUAAGAAUAUGACUGUCUCUAUUGCAAAAUAAAAAUUGCUGGUAGCGUGAAGAAGCGAAAGUAACAAAAAAAGACAAGAAGACCCUAUUAAGCUUUACUUUAAAAUUUUAUUUUUUAUCUUAAAAGAAUAAAAAAUAAAAUUAUGUUAGUUUGGUUGGGGUGACUAAAAAGGAAAAAAUCCUUUUUUUAGAAGAGUACUUUAAGUUUAAUAAAAGAUCCAAGCUUUUUGAUUAUUAGAAUAAGUUACYAUAGGGAUAACAGCGUAAUUUUUUCAGAGAGUUCUUAUUGACGAAAAAGAUUGCGACCUCGAUGUUGACUUGUUGUCUCCUUGUAAGGUGUAGAAGCUUUAAGGGUUAGUCUGUUCGACUAUUAAAACAAUACGUGAGUUGGGUUCAAACCGGUGUAAGCCAGGUUGGUUUCUAUCUUUUUUGUUAGACUAAAAAAUCUUAGUACGAAAGGACCAGUUUUUUGUAUUUUAUAUU
rnacentral:rRNA from 1 species